CAGUCGCCGCGGUAAUACGUAGGGUGCGAGCGUUAAUCGGAAUUACUGGGCGUAAAGCGAGCGCAGACGGUUAUUUAAGCAGGAUGUGAAAUCCCCGGGCUUAACCUGGGAACUGCGUUCUGAACUGGAUAGCUAGAGUGUGUCAGAGGGGGGUAGAAUUCCACGUGUAGCAGUGAAAUGCGUAGAGAUGUGGAGGAAUACCGAUGGCGAAGGCAGCCCCCUGGGAUAACACUGACGUUCAUGCUCGAAAGCGUGGGUAGCAAACAGGAUUAGAUACCCCAGUAGUCCCUGUCUCUUAUAA
rnacentral:rRNA from 1 species